CAGUAGCCCGGUAACACGGAGGGUGCAAGCGUUAAUCGGAAUUACUGGGCGUAAAGCGCACGCAGGCGGUCUGUCAAGUCAGAUGUGAAAUCCCCGGGCUUAACCUGGGAACUGCAUUUGAAACUGGCAGGCUAGAGUCUUGUAGAGGGGGGUAGAAUUCCAGGUGUAGCGGUGAAAUGCGUAGAGAUCUGGAGGAAUACCGGUGGCGAAGGCGGCCCCCUGGACAAAGACUGACGCUCAGGUGCGAAAGCGUGGGGAGCAAACAGGAUUAGAUACCCCAGUAGUCCCUGUCUCUUAUACA
rnacentral:rRNA from 1 species